GCGUGUCGAACGUUAAUGUUUCUGUCAGGACCUUCGCAGCCGCUCAUCAUUCUCUCUCUCUCUCUCUAAAGCUCCAGUCUUGGCAGUCUUGAAGAGCUCCAUCGCUCCCUUUCUCUUUCCUCCCCUUUUAUCUCUCUAGAAUUUUACUCACCCACUCUCUCUCUCGAGUGUGUCGUUGCAUUGGCUCCUAAAAGUUGCGAAAUUUCCUACACAGAAACAAACAGCUCACCCCACUACUGAGGCGGAGGACCACCUACCAUCAAAGCUUUAUUUUUGAUGGACCACCGCCGUGCACGGCGGCCUCCGGCGAGAUUUCCGGGCUGAAAAUCACUUUCCCAGAUUGCUACCGUGCCUUAAUUAUUGAUUUUCUUGGAGUUUUUUGAAGUUAUGGCGGCGGAGGCGAAUAGCAACACGGCGGCGCUGGUGGAGGCCGGCGGCGGAGCCGCCGGGGGGUUGACGGAGGAGCUGGCGGCGAAGGCGGUGCUUAAGAGAUACGAGGGAUUGAUGAUUGUACGGACGAAAGCGGUGAAGGGGAAAGGCGCGUGGUACUGGGCUCACCUUGAGCCCAUGCUGGUCCACAAUUCCGAUUCCGGGUUGCCCAAAGCCGUUAAGCUCCGGUGUUCGUUAUGCGACGCCGUGUUUUCCGCUUCUAAUCCUUCUAGAACCGCCUCCGAGCAUCUAAAGAGAGGAACUUGCCCCAAUUUCAACACCCUCGUCAAACCCAUUUCUUCUCUCCCGCCGGCGCCCCACCAACAGAAUCACCGGAAACGGAACUCCCCCGGCGGCGAUAGUGGCAGCCCGGCUUCUACGGCGGCAUAUCAAGUUACUCCGCUUGCUAUUGUUGAUCCAUCAAGAUUCGCCGUGGAGUUAGCUUACCCGCCGGUGGUGUCAAUGGCCACCGCUAUUGUUGCCACCGGUGGUGCCGCCGCCGCCGCCGGAGGCGGCGGCGGCGGCAUGUAUGGGCAGCACCCUAUGGUGUUGUCAGGUGGAAAGGAGGAUUUGGGGGCUCUAGCCAAGCUAGAAGAUAGUGUGAAGAAGCUAAAGAGUCCAAAAUCAUCGCCCGGGCCAGCUUUGAGCAAGUCCCAGAUUGAUUCAGCCUUUGAUUAUCUUGCAGAUUGGGUGUAUGAAUGUUGUGGGUCAGUCUCAAUUUCCAGUCUUGACCACCCAAAAUUCAGGGCAUUUCUCACCCAAGUUGGGCUGCCCUCAAUUUCAAGAAAAGAGUUUGCAGGUUCCAGGUUGGAUGCCAAGUACGAGGAGGCCAAGGUUGAGUCCGAGGCAAGAAUCCGAGACGCCAUGUUCUUUCAGGUUGCAGGUGAUGGUUGGAUGGCCAAGAAGCAUGGGCAUGUUGGGGAAGAGAAUUUGGUGAGUUUGUAUGUGAAUCUUCCCAAUGGGACAAGUGUGUUUAGGAGGACAGUUUUCACUAGUGGAUUUGUUCCUUCUAAGUAUGCCGAGGAGGUUUUAUGGGACACAAUCACAGACAUUUGUGGCAGCAAUAGUGUUCAACAAUGUAUAGGGAUAGUUGCAGACAGGUUUAAGGGCAAGGCAUUGAGGAAUUUGGAGAAUCAGCACCAUUGGAUGGUCAAUCUUUCUUGUCAGUAUCAAGCAUUCAAUAGUUUGGUUAAGGAUUUCGGCAAGGAGCUUCCGUUUUUCAAGAAUGUGACCGAGAAUUGUGUAAAGCUCGCGAAUUUCGUGAACAAUAAGUCCCAGAUUCGGAAUAGUUUCCACAAGUAUCAGUUGCAGGAGUAUGGGCAUGCUGGGCUGUUGAGGGUGCCCUUGCCAGGCUACGAAAGCUCGGAUUUUGGACCCGUUUAUUCGUUGAUCGAGGAUAUACUUAGCUCAGCUCGGGCACUUCAGCUAGUGUUGCUGGAUGAAUCAUAUAAGGUAGUUUCAGUUGAGGAACCGUUUGCUAGGGAGAUUGAAGAGAUGAUGAGGAAUCCGCGUUUCUGGAAUGAAUUGGAGGCGAUGCAUUCGUUAGUUAAAUUGAUCAAGACGAUGGCACGGGAUAUUGAGACGGAGAAACCACGAGUAGGGCAAUGCCUUCCUCUAUGGGAGGAGCUUAGAGUGAAAGUGAAGGAUUGGUGUUCUAAGUUUCACAUUGCCGAGGGACCUGUGGAGAAAUUGGUUGAAAGGAGGUUCGAGAAGAAUUAUCACCCGGCUUGGGCUGCUGCAUUUAUACUCGAUCCACUCUAUUUGAUUCGAGACACUAGUGGAAAGUACUUGCCACCGUUCAAAUACCUUACCCCCGAGCAAGAGAAGGACGUGGACAAGCUCAUAACACGUCUUGUAUCUCGGGACGAGGCUCAUAUCGCUUUGAUGGAGCUUAUGAAAUGGAGAACUGAAGGGCUCGAGCCGGUUUAUGCUCAAGCUGUUCAGUUGAAGCAGAGGGAUCCUAGCACGGGAAAGAUGAAAAUCGCGAACCCUCAGAGUAGUAGGCUUGUUUGGGAAACUUACCUCACGGGGUUCAAGUCGUUAGGCAAAGUUGCUGUUAGGCUUAUCUUCCUUCAUGCUACCUCGUGCGGGUUUAAAUGCAACUGGUCUUUCCUGAGAUGGGCGGGGGCUCAAUCCCAUUCGAGGGUGGGUGUGGACCGAGCUCAGAAGUUGAUAUUCAUUGCUGCUCACUCGAAGCUCGAAAAGCGGGAUUAUUCCAAUGAUGAGGACAAAGAUGCCGAGCUCUUUGCCCUGGCAAACGGUGAGGAUGAUGUGCUCAAUGAGGUGCUGUAGAGCUUCCUUGAGACUUUACGGUUACAUUAGCUUAAACGUUGGCGUUGAAAUGCACGUGCCAUCACGAUUCAAUCAACGAGACACCUGAAACUCGAGAUGAGGUAUUGGAUAAGGAGCCGAGAAAGACAUUGCCGAAACACCAUGAAAUGCAUAGUUGGUGGAAAAGCUCGUGAGGCUGUAAUUGGAUGGUUUUAUAUGCAAAAGGAUCCAACAAAAGGACACGAUUCAAAUUUCCCGGAAGGCAAACUAGGUUUGGCUAUCCCGGGGGACCUAGCCCGAGGAAAUUUAACGAAAUCUUUAUAGCUGGAAGAGCACUUCACAACUGCUAAUAUCGCAUUCCUAUUAUUCUGGUAUAUGUGUCUUUGGGGCAGUGGCGUCCCACCACGGGAGCUAGUGGAAGUCUUUUUCGAAAUUUUGGUUGUUAAGUUAAAACAAUCUUAUGCUUACUUCUGCUUUAAAACAUUUCAAAAACUUGUGAUGUUCAUGCAGAGAGUCCACUGGAUGAUGAUGCUUCCCAUGAUUGCGAAAAAAGGUUGAGAGGACCCAAAGUGAAAGAACACUGUCGGUAUGAAGCAACACAAAAGAUGCUUGAUAGCGAUUUGGCAACGCAGAUUGACUAAUGUUUGCUGAUUCCUGCAGAUAGCUUUGAGAAGUGGAAAUCCAUCAUUACCAGAGGGGAGGGAGGAGGCAUGGUGGUAGCAGAAGUAAAAGAAGGCUCCUUUACAACUUUUUCCAUGGUAAAAAAGAUGAGUAAAAGUGGUUUCUGCCAUUUUCACCACUGCAAACAAUAAUGGUGGAAAUGUUGUUUUUUUUUUUUAAUCUUAGUUUUGUAAAUGGAUGGUACAAUGUAGAGAAAAUGGGUAUUAUUUUUCUUCCAAGAAAGGAAAAACCAGCUUGCAUGGUUUCUUGUACUGUUUGUUUCACCCAUUCCCUUUAUCAGCAAAAACAUUUCAAGAA